rnacentral:misc_RNA from 1 species
UGUCCAUAUGGGAUUGCAACACUUGUGUUUGGGGAAAACUUCUCAGUGACUAUAGCGCCACUGGAUCCACUACCCUUAAUGUUGUAACCGUCUCUCUUAAUGGCCAAAGUGACUGGUUCCCAUAUAUCAAGAUAUCCAGUCGACAAGGAUACUUUAUAUGAAGCAUGACCACCAUAAAGAGUUUUCUCAAUAUGUCGUUGCAUUUCAAGAUCACAAA